rnacentral:rRNA from 1 species
UCCUACGGGAGGCAGCAGUGGGGAAUAUUGGACAAUGGGCGCAAGCCUGAUCCAGCCAUGCCGCGUGAGUGAUGAAGGCCCUAGGGUUGUAAAGCUCUUUCAGCGAGGAGGAUAAUGACGUUACUCGCAGAAGAAGCCCCGGCUAACUUCGUGCCAGCAGCCGCGGUAAUACGAAGGGGGCUAGCGUUGUUCGGAAUCACUGGGCGUAAAGCGCACGUAGGCGGACUUUUAAGUCAGGGGUGAAAUCCCGGGGCUCAACCCCGGAACUGCCUUUGAUACUGGAAGUCUUGAGUCCGAGAGAGGUGAGUGGAACUCCGAGUGUAGAGGUGAAAUUCGUAGAUAUUCGGAAGAACACCACUGGCGAAGGCGGCUCACUGGCUCGUUUCUGACGCUUAAGCGCCAAAGCCUGGGGUACAAACAAGAUUAUAUACCCCUGGUAUCUCCCCCCC